ensembl:lncRNA
UUUUUAUGUUAGAUUGCUUGCGCUGUUCUUUACGUGUAAUCGAAAAUAACCAGUCAAACAAUAUAUUUUCUUUCGUUUUCAACAGGUUUGGAACAGCUAGGAUGAGUAAAUGUAACCCAGGACCACAAAACCAGUCAUAAGCGUAAUUUUUUUUAAACUGAGAUUUAUAACUUAAAUCACCUAAAAGCUGAAUGAGUAAGCUUUCCAUUAAAUUAACUCUCUUAAACUAUGACUUGGGUUUGUCACCUCAGUGAGCUUGACCUUUUUAGCAGUAUCUAACAAUUAAAAUCACAACCAUGUUAUAUAAUUUAAUGUACAAUAUAUAAUUUUCAGCACAUCUGUUGAGCUGAAAUUGAAUCAGUUUUGACCCAUGCAUUCCAAAUGACCUUUCCAUGACUUUUCAAGUUAAUUGUUAUUACUCGAUUUAAGUAUAGCCAAAGACUAUAGAAUACCUUAUCUUAAAAUAUACUAUAAAAUAGCUUAAAGGGACUUUGGUAUAGCCUAACUAAAUAUUCCAGAUUUUUAAAUUCCCUGAUAUUUUCAGGAUUUCCAUUACCAAGAGUAUUGUAGUGAUUGUAGUUUAUAUUUAUUAUUUUUAAUCGUUAACUUUUGCUGCUCAAUAAAUAUAUAAUUUUAUAAAAGGAGAAAGACAAACAAUAAUACUUCUUAUGACCUCGUUUCAUUGUAUUUUAUUACAAAGAUAAUGAAAAUAUACAAUAUUUAAGGGGAUAAAACUGUGAGGAUAUUAGGCUGAAUGGACCUCAGAUGUGUUUUUCUGUACAUUGCAUCCUCUGAGGAAAGACAGAUGAUGGUUGUGAUAAACACAAGGAAUUUUUUGAGACCACUCAUAUACAGAUAAAGCAACAGAAGCGGAUUCCAUCUCUAAAACCAUCUGCAUGCUGCUAUUGUUCCCAAGGCACUGAUCAACAUCCACCUAGUUAUGAAGACAAACAAAAAUAUAUCUGUUCACUGAUAGUUUAGACUCAAAUAGUCAAAUAUAGGUAAAAGCUGAGAAAACACAGACGGCUGAAAUAAAGUCAAACUCUCAAAUGUUUUCACAUAUUUUUCAAACAACCAAAUGCAUUUGAGUCUUUCUAUAUAUAUAUAUAUGCUGUUAAAUUUUUUAUGGGUCUACCUUGUUUCCAUGAAGUACAAGAGCUCUGAAAACUUGUCCAAAAGGCUUUAGCAGCCGUAGCACUCCUGUAGCAGCACUGGGCUGAUUGGGAACAUUACAUACAACCAGCAAAUGGUCCAAAGCCGUUAGCAGCCCCUAAAAAACAGCGGGACUUGUUCAAGAAUAGAUUAUUUUUAAAAAAAUUUUUUUAUUGUUCUUAAGUUUUAAUUUGAAAUGGCUCCAAAACAAGUGAUACUUGCAUUUGACAAUGAUGACCCCACAAAAGCAUGAAACACUGACACCUGAAGUAAAAGUAUCCAUUAAACUCAGUGAAGUAAAUAAACAAAUGAAGUACUGAAGUAAAACAAAAAAGUAAUUACGCAAGAAAAUAUUAAUUAUGAAAUUGUUUCCAUUUAUCCAUUAGCAUGUCAACUCACAGGUGAACUAAAGUCAACAGUUUGGGACACCAGUUCCAAACUUUGCUGUCUCAUGUGAACUGGGAUAGCAGAGUAAACCUUCACCAUCUCCUCGGCCGAGAAUUCAGUUGGAAACAUCAGUAAAGCCUGAAACACACACACACACACACACACACACACACACACACUGAUAUAGAAGUGCUGUAUUUUACUGGAAAUUAUUUUAGAAAAAAGUAAUUAUUGUUCUAUUGUUUUAAAAUAAACAAGUGCAACAUACAUCCUAAAAUGACACAUACCUUCUUCCAUUCUAGACAGGUUGUUGUGUAAACCUCAGUUGCCAUUAAAACCUCAACAGAUUGACCAAACGGCGAUGCCAUUUUGAUGAGUUCACUCUGAGAGUAAUGAAGAGGGAUUCCAGACACACGAAUCACACCCUUCUUUUGUGCUGAUGUUUUUGCAGUUGUCUUAGUUACUGGCAUCUGAAUGUUGAUGGAUUCAGUGGUUACUUCUGAUUUUGCAGAUUUGACUGGAAAUGAAGACUGCUGAUGACCUUUUGUUAUGGUGUUGUAAGUGUUGGAUCUGUGUGGAGAGGACAAGGGUCUUUGUGUAGUAUAAUGUAUUGCUUUAUUACAGUCUAGAGAGACAAAGCUGUGCCUUCUGCUGUGUUUUGAUCGAGGGGGGAAAUAGACUGAACCAGGCCUCCAGCCGGUGUCCUCAGCAGGCCCAUGUUGCAGCCUCUUUAGGAAGGAAUUUGAUCCUCUUCC